rnacentral:lncRNA from 1 species
ACACGCACACACGCAUGGAAGGAGAAGAGAGAAGCCUCUCUUUCUCUCUCUAAAUCUCUCCCAAAGAAGAGGAUUUUGGUGGAGAUUGAAGCCAAGAGAGGAUUCAUCGUCUUCAUCAUCAUCUUCUCCACCUUGAGGGCAAGCUUGAGAGGUAAGCUUUUGCUACCCUUUAAUGGUAGAUCUUUAAUGGUUGGUUUAAAUACCUUAUAAAUGGAUUUAGUGGAAUCCUAUGAUGCUAAAUAGAUGAUUGUUGCUUAAAUCAUGGAUCAAUUUAAUGAUUUCUUGCAAUAGGUGAAACCUAGGGUCCAAAAUGCUAAUUUUUAAAAUAUGAGGGUUUGAUCUAAUUUGACCAUCCGUAAACCUAAUUGCUAGGUAACGAAAUGCGUUGGCGAAGACGGUUCGGCAAUCCGACGAGCCGUUACGAAGUUAUUAAAGAAACGGACGUUUAGGCUUCGGGUCCGCCGGGAGGGCCGAGGCGACGUCGUAAAAUCAUGGAAACGGAUUUGAAGCAUCGUGGCCAUAACCGAAGACCUUUAAUUUCUGGAUCGUGAAUUGGAGGCCGUUUGGGUGGUCGCACGCGAGAUCGGGCCAAACCGGGUGCCGGGUGCCGCGGGCGGCCGAUUGCAGGUGUCGACAAACAAUCGGAACGCGUGUUAAGGUGGGUUGUGCUUACCGAAGCGACUUGGUCGCCCCACAUGUCAAAGCGAAAUAUGGAUUUUUGGUUAAUGCAUUUAUGUAUGUGCAUACGGGCAUAUUUGCAUUGUGUAAAUGCAUGCUAGUUGGUAAUUUGCAUAUUAGUAUGUAUGCUUAGUGAAAUACAUGCUUGGGGCAUUUAGCAUUAUGAGAUUCAUGUUGACAUGUAUUAGAAAACAUGAGCAUAUAAAUGAAUGUUAACCUAUUGUUAAUCUUAUGAGUUAUGAGAUCAUGUUGGGUAAUGUUUAGUGAUAAUUGCAUAAUAAUGCAUUGGGAAGUAAUCGCUUAUUAACUAGGAUGCAUAGCGAUAUAUAUGUGCAUUGGAAUGUAUGCUAGGUGCAUGUAGCAUUAUGUGAGCCGGUUGGAUAAAAAUGCAUAAGUGCAUCAUGUGAAUACAAGUUAGAUUGACAAGAGCAUAUUGAC